GAGCAGCUAUUGAUGUUUCCUAGGCAAUGCUGACAAAACCACACAGCCUCUAAUUGGCUCCACUACAAAUAUUUACAGCUGUGAAAAGAAGUUUGCUGAUCCCAUGACGGUAGCCAUGGUUGCCUAUCUUUUUAGCUGCUGUUGUGCUGGUGAGAAACAUGAAUAGGUUGCAAGAAUCCCUCACUGGCUUUGUAGCAGGAACAUUUGCUGACCCAAAUGUAGAAGCCAAUUAAGCUCUAAAGCUUCUGUGUGUUUUUCUGAUUGAAUGUGUACUUACUUCUCCUGUUGGGAGGAAAGGAAGAAAGUGGAGCCAGGCUCUUCCCAGUGGUGUUCAGUGACAGGACAAAAGAUCACAACUCUGUCUCAAUUUAUACUGAGAAUACCACAGUGGGGGAAGAAGUAGAUCUGACCAAUUUCCUUGUGUGUAUGAAGAUGGAAUAGGAUCCACAAGCCUUAAUGAUGCUCUUAACAUUUCUCUUCCUGUAAUGAGGCUCAGUGCUUUGUUUCUUCAUUGUUUAUUCAUAGCAAGGACCAUGUGUUCAAUAUGCAAAAUAAAAAAUACAUCAACGUAUUUAUAAAUUUAAUAAUUAAAUAAAAUUUUUAAAUAAGCCAUGAAAAAAAUGUAAAAAUAAUAAAAAAAAAACAGUUGAAAAAUGUGUAUUUAUUUUUAAAGGUACUGUGGAUCAAUAGCCUUCACAUAAUCCUGUUGCUGUGCCAACAUAUCAGGCUGCUAAAGAUGCUGAUUUGUCUGCUUUAAAUAUUAU